AGGUACAAGGCUCCCAAGGAAACCUAGAGGCAGAAGAGGAAUUGUGCAUACAAUGAUACAGGAAGUAGAUCCUACCAGCACACAUGGAACUGUCUACCACAGCUGCAGCUGCAACCAGAGAGCACCACUGAAGGAAGGCAUAGCAGGUGAUAUCCACUGGGACAAAUACAUAUUACCUCCAUUCUUCCUUGAGGUUUGAAGAGAUAGGCAUGGGAUACUCUGGAAUACAUAAAGAUGACAGACGCUCCAUCUCAAGACAAGCUUCCAUGAUUGCAGAAAUGAAGAAUGGAGAGCAUGGAGACCCACGAGCAGGUUCUUAAAGCUUUGGCCCAGAAGUGACACUCAUCAAUCCUCCUCAUGAUUCAUUGUCCAAAGGAAGUCACAUGGCCUCAUCUGUGUUCAACAGGACAGGGAAGGGCACCAAGUAUUUGUGAGCAAUAUUACAGUCUACGACAUCUAUAUAACUAAAUAUUAAGGAGAGGGAAGUAGGGAUGAGAAAGAAACUCACUAAAAGAAGUGAUUAUCACAGGGUGAUGAGCUUACAAAUAAUUUAUGUUUUUUCCAUGUACUUCUCAGUAUUUCUGAUUUUUAUAAACAAACAUGUAUUACUUUUACUGCUUGUUUUCUUUAUGUCUCUGAGCGAUAUGUUAAUAUAGUCUGUAAAUAACUGAAACACUCUAGAAGUAUAAUGUAAAACAAAAUACCCCCUUCAUAUAAUAUCACCCAACUCUAAUCCCAACCCCCCAGUUCCCACCCCCAGAAGUAAUCACUAACUGUAGCUUGGUGUAUAUACUUCCAGAUUGUCUUUGUAUAUGCAUUCACAAACAUAAAUAUGAAUAUACAUGAAUUUCUCUUAGGAGAGAAAAAAAUAAAAACAGCAUGAAAAUUAAUCAAUAUGCAUACUGCUUUAAUAAACUAUUUUCUUAUAGAGAAUGUAUAAUUCAUCCAUACCAGUUCAGUGUUCUUAACAGCUCCCACCCAACUCAUGAACUCAUCUGCAAGCAACCUAUGCUGUCCACUUCUCUGUGCAUUUCCUUUCCUUCUGGGAGUUUUUUCAGCUUUCUGCGUCUGUCUUACCUGUUCUCCAUUGCUGACUUUUCACUUUGGAGUCUCACUUCACAUUGUUACCACCUGACCCUGGCUGGGGGCCAUGUUUUCCUCUGGCCCAAUAACUUCCAGCCAGCACUGCCUGCUCACAGCCCUGGUGCCAGUGUCACGCCCAGCUGCUCACCUACCUGGGAAAGGUGUGUGUGAUGGGGGUUGUUGGCUUUACUUGAUAAGACUAGGAGCUAACUAUUUGGCACCUAAGCUUACUAUACUUAAGGGAAGCCUGAAAUAAUGACUCACAUGAUGGGGUGUUGGAGUGCAUGUGGUUUGAACAAACAUAUCCAGUAUUAUGAUUUUCAUUUGGAAAAUAAUAAAUAAGCCUUCAUUUUUGUAAAAUUGAAGCUUAGAGACAAAUUAGAGUAAUAUUGUUAACAAUAGGGGAAACUGGGUAUGGGGUAUAUGGAAAUUAUCUGUGACUCUUACAAUUUUUCUUUGUCUAAAACUUUUCUAAAGUUAAAAGUUUAUUAUUAAAAAUCUCUAAAGCUUGCAAAAUCUUAUUGACUGGUGGGGAUACUCAGAAGUCACAGGGAUUCCCAAUCAGGGGUACAGCCUUUGAGAUUGUGUGUAGAAAACCCAAAUACACAACUUUGAUGGCAACCAUUACAUGGACUAAAAAUUCAGAAAUAAUCAGAAAAGUAACGUGAACUGAAAUAUAUACUGAUAGAAGGAAAUCCUCAGUGUGAACUAGCAAAGGAAUGAAAUUUAGAUUUAGAUGAUAGGCUUCUAUACUUUAUUGUUUAUAUCCACUUACUUUCAAAAGAGGUAUGAAAAUUGCUUAUAACAAAACUUCAUAUUCAAUGGAAUAGUUAACAAUAUUGGGAAAAGGCAGAAUAGCAUUUUUCGAAGUAUGUUUCAUAAAAUAGAAAGAGAUGUUACAUGAAAAAUAAAGUCUAUGUUCAAAUAAACUGGAGAAAUGUUUAAAUCAAAUGAAAACAGUAUUUCCUCCUUUCAGAAUUUUGCUUCCAAUGAACAUGGUGAAUAAACGAGAGAAGGAGGUGUAUGCAA